rnacentral:rRNA from 1 species
UGCAGUCGAACGAGGUAGCAAUACUUAGUGGCAGACGGGUGAGUAACAUGUGGGUAUCUGCCCUUUGGCCUGGAAUAACACGAGGAAACUUGUGCUAAUACUGGAUAAGUCUUAACGGAGAAAGCUUUAUGCACCAAUGGAUGAGCCCGCACUUGAUUAGUUUGUUGGUAGGGUAAUGGCCUACCAAGACUGUGAUCAAUAGCUGAUUUGAGAGGAUGAUCAGCCACAUUGGGACUGAGACACGGCCCAAACUCCUACGGGAGGCAGCAGUGGGGAAUCUUGCACAAUGGAGGAAACUCUGAUGCAGCGAUGCCGCGUGAGUGAAGAAGGCCUUUGGGUUGUAAAGCUCUUUCGUCGGGGAAGAAAAUGACUGUACCCGAAUAAGAAGGUCCGGCUAACUUCGUGCCAGCAGCCGCGGUAAUACGAAGGGACCUAGCGUAGUUCGGAAUUACUGGGCUUAAAGAGUUCGUAGGUGGUUGAAAAAGUUGGUGGUGAAAUCCCAGAGCUUAACUCUGGAACUGCCAUCAAAACUUUUCAGCUAGAGUUUGAUAGAGGAAAGCAGAAUUUCUAGUGUAGAGGUGAAAUUCGUAGAUAUUAGAAAGAAUACCAAUUGCGAAGGCAGCUUUCUGGAUCAAUACUGACACUGAGGAACGAAAGCAUGGGCAGCGAAGAGGAUUAGAUACCCUCGUAGUCCAUGCCGUAAACGAUGUGUGUUAGACGUUGGAAAUUUAUUUUCAGUGUCGCAGUGAAAGCGGUAAACACACCGCCUGGGGAGUACGACCGCAAGGUUAAAACUCAAAUGAAUUGACGGGACC